CCGACCCAUCCCAAAAGGAUAUCGUGUAACAGUUCAUAUAUCCUUUAUCCUUUUCCGCUUUACUUUAUUUACUAUAUAUAGACCACCAGAUGCUACUCGUUUGUAUUAAGAAUUUUGUGAUAUAAAUACAGGACCACCUUGGCUGCAAUAUGAGAGCCUACAUUGGUGUUUGUUUCAUCUUAUUAUGUUUGACAGGAUUUGAGUAUACUGACGCUGCAAAAAAGUGUUUUAGUAUGGUUGACUGUGGAAUCUUUGCUGGUGGUUGCAGGCCAUACUGUGUUGAAAAAUUGUGUGUCGGUAAUGCCGAAUGCGUCGGAAAUAUGGAAUGCUGCUGUGGUGGUUGUAUUUUUGGAUAAUUAGAAGGGACAUAAAGACCAAGAGGAAUAUUUACCAACUUAUCUGCCAAAAAUAAAGCAUACAAUUUGAAAAUGGUUUUAUCAGUAUAUUGAGAGAUAGUAAAUGAAAUCAAUUGUAAUAA